rnacentral:lncRNA from 1 species
UCCCGAGCCACCCCGGCACGAGCCUGCUCCUCCACAGUACCACCCGGCACCACUAUCGCAGUACAACCCGGUGCCCCAGCCACGGUACUACCCGGCACUGCCACAGCACGACCCAGUGCCCCCAGCAUAUCAGCAGGUUCCACCACAGGACCCCCCAGUCUAUCCCCAACCGGGUCCAGUCCCUCCUCCACGGGACUCCGCUCCUUCCUUGAUCGACCCGGGCUACAUAGAGAGGUACAGGAGACUAAACUCCUCCACCUUUGCAGGGGGAUCCUCUUUUG